AGUGAACGCUGGCGGCGUGCUUAACACAUGCAAGUCGAACGGAUGAAAUAAGCUUGCUUAUUUCGUUAGUGGCGCACGGGUGAGUAAUGUAUAGCUAACCUACCCUUUAGUGGGGGACAACAGUUGGAAACGACUGCUAAUACCCCAUACUCCUUCUUAUCUUAAGAUAAGUUGGGAAAGAUUUAUUGCUAAAGGAUGGGGCUUUAUGGUAUCAGCUAGUUGGUGGGGUAACGGCCUACCAAGGCGAUGACGCCUACCUGGUCUGAGAGGAUGACCAGGCACACUGGAACUGAGACACGGUCCAGACUCCUACGGGAGGCAGCAGUGGGGAAUAUUGCACAAUGGAGGAAACUCUGAUGCAGCAACGCCGCGUGGAGGAUGACGCAUUUCGGUGUGUAAACUCCUUUUAUAAGGGAAGAUAAUGACGGUACCUUAUGAAUAAGCACCGGCUAACUCCGUGCCAGCAGCCGCAGUAA
rnacentral:rRNA from 1 species